rnacentral:rRNA from 1 species
UACGUAGGGGGCUAGCGUUGUCCGGAAUCAUUGGGCGUAAAGCGCGUGUAGGCGGUUCGGUAAGUCCGCUGUGAAAGUCGGGGGCUCAACCCUCGGAUGCCGGUGGAUACUGUCGGACUAGAGUACGGAAGAGGCGAGUGGAAUUCCUGGUGUAGCGGUGAAAUGCGCAGAUAUCAGGAGGAACACCAAUGGCGAAGGCAGCUCGCUGGGACGGUACUGACGCUGAGGCGCGAAAGCGUGGGGGAGCGAACAGG